rnacentral:rRNA from 1 species
GGGAACAUACCCUUUUCUACGGAAUAGCUCUGGGAAACUGGAAUUAAUACCGUAUACGCCCUACGGGGGAAAGAUUUAUCGGGGAAGGAUUGGCCCGCGUUGGAUUAGCUAGUUGGUGGGGUAAAGGCCUACCAAGGCGACGAUCCAUAGCUGGUCUGAGAGGAUGAUCAGCCACAUUGGGACUGAGACACGGCCCAAACUCCUACGGGAGGCAGCAGUGGGGGAUAUUGGACAAUGGGCGCAAGCCUGAUCCAGCCAUGCCGCGUGAGUGAUGAAGGCCUUAGGGUUGUAAAGCUCUUUCACCGAUGAAGAUAAUGACGGUAGUCGGAGAAGAAGCCCCGGCUAACUUCGUGCCAGCAGCCGCGGUAAUACGAAGGGGGCUAGCGUUGUUCGGAAUUACUGGGCGUAAAGCGCACGUAGGCGGAUAUUUAAGUCAGGGGUGAAAUCCCAGAGCUCAACUCUGGAACUGCCUUUGAUACUGGGUAUCUUGAGUAUGGAAGAGGUAAGUGGAAUUGCGAGU